UUUUAGGCCAUCAGAUAUGAUAAGGACCCGGUGUGGAACAAGACAAUCCAUUUUCCAAUACAGAACCCUUAUGAGGAUGAAUUGCACAUUGAGGUAAAAGAUGUGCAUCAUGGGAGGUUGGGCACUUUCUCUAUGUCCAUCUGUGACCUACUGUUGGCAGAAAACCUCACAGUGGAAGGAUGUUUUAAUUUGCGUUCACCUAAUCCUCUGGCUACUAUCAACAUAAAAAUGGAGUUGAGGAUUCUAGUGCCUCCUCAUCUUGAUGAGAGGAUAGAGGAAAUGACUUCUGAUGAUUUAAGUUCUGAAGAGCUGAGUAUUCAGAUGUAAGGAGCCGUUAAUUGUGGGACAGUAAUAUAGGGAGGCAAUAAAUCACUGCCCUGAACACCCCGAAAACAGGUAGAAUGGCGCUGUAUUUAAAAAAAAAAUGGAACCUCCCUCGGACUCCUGUAGAACCUCGGUCAGGUUAGAUCUGUCAGAUUUUUCUCGUUAAAAUUCUGAAGAUUGUUUUAAAUUGAUAGAAAUACAAAACCACAACUUUUAAAAAAAAUGUAGAUCAUAUUUUCUUGACUCUUUCAAAUCAUGGAAAAAACACAAAUCUUGAAUUUUACUAAAUAGUCCCCUCUAUGUUUGGUUUAGGAUCUGAGUAAAUAAAACCAACCCAUAUUUGCUCUGGAAA